AUGGAGUUCGGCGAGCAUAGAGUGGAGACCCGCGCGAGGGAGACGGAUCUCUCGGUGGUGUACACCAUCGACCCGGUCGUGGUUAUUCAUGUGUGUACACGAUGGCUCCGUACUUGGUCUAUCCUGCAGAGGCCGGAGGAUAGAGACCUUUUUAUGAUGGCGUCUACACGGCUGGAGCAUACGGCCAGGGAGGUUUUCUACCCCCAUGGAUGGCGGUGUGACCUACGGAUAGGAUAUGCCACUCCUUAG
rnacentral:rRNA from 1 species